UCAAGAACCAGGGACGAAGACCCUACACGGGUACCAUAUGCUGCCAUCUUUAAAAAUCCUCGGACCCAGGGAGAGAGAUAAGUGUUGCUGUGAGUAGAUGGAUCCUUCGGCCUUCCUACUUCACUAUUUUCACUGAUUGCACUCUGUUUGAGAUUUGUUCUACACUCCAGUAUACGAUCUAUCUUGGCAAGUGUUCCACGAGCUUGGGGGAAAAAUGUAUUCUCCAGAGUUUGACUCUUUUCAUCGAGAAUAAUCUGGCGCCCAAACACAUGGAGCCUCAGAGAAGAAUCAGGACCCCAGAGGAGUUGCUUGAAAUGGGAGCUAAGGUACUAGCAGGGGCCCAAUGAAGGCCAACCGAGUUCAAGCUUCUCCUCCAGUGAAAAUGGGAUCGUGGCCUCACAGGCUUCAAGGAAUGAAUCCGUGGACCGCGGUGGUGAGUGUUACAGCUUGACUGGAGAAACGCGUGUACCCAACGAGUGUGCGGUGGCAAGAUUAAAGUGAAAGCGAAAGUAAAGCGAAAGCGAAAGUGAAAGUAAAAGUCUUACAGAUGCAACUCCCUGCUGGGAACCCAAACCCGUUUCACCAGAAAAGUGAAAGCAUAAGGAAGGAAAUGGGCAUCUGCAAAGAAUCCAAGCAAGAGAAGGAGCAACCGGCUUGUGAACUCACUCCCUUAAGACAGCAUUAAUGUAUUCAAGGGGAUCUGCCCUGUGAUCCAAACACCGCCUACUAGGUCUCACUUCCCAACACUGCCACAUUGGGAAUCAAAUUUCAACAUGCGUUUUGUCAGCGACAAAUCACUUCCAAGCCAUAGCAACCACGUACCCACAAAUAAGAGUCGUAAUCUAUUAGGGUUUUUCUUAAGUUGAUCAUUUUUUCUGUAUAUAAAGUGACACAUUUCAGAAUAAAUUAGUAUGAUUUAAUCCUGUCUCAGUGACUAUUCUUUCUUUUAUCAAAAUGGUUUAUUAUGAUAAAUGUAGUGGUCAUAUUUCAAAUGCAUUGUUUACCUUUGCAUACACUGUAUAUAUAGAAUCCUCAAAAACAUAUGGUAUUAUGAAAUUUUUAUAUUUGCAUGUGCAAUAUCAUAUAACAUUAUUAUACAGUGUGCUUUUACCACUCAAAAUUAUGUUUCUGAGUUCUACAUCUAUCUAUAUCUAUGUAUGUAAAGAUUGACCUAUAUGUGAUAUUGUUCUACAAAUAGAAUUUUUCUAUUUUCAGUAAUUUAUUAUUAUGAACAUCAUGCUAUAAACAUUCAUAUGCCUUUCUACUUCUAUAAAGUUGCAAGAACUUCUCUGUCAUUUACUCAGAAGUAGUGUUUCUGGUCUUUAUAGUAACUUUUAUUUUUUAUUUAUUUUUUUAUUUCCAUAGUUUUGGGGGUACAGGUGGUUUUUGGUUACAUGGAUGAGUUCUACAGUGGUGAAUUCUGAGAUUUUAAUGAACCCAUCACCCAAGCAGUGUACACUGUACCAAAUAUGUAAUCUUUUAUUUCUCACUCCCCUCUCAACCUCUGACCUUGAGGCCCCAAAGUCCAUUAUAUAAUUCUGUGUGUCUUGGACUCAUCAAAGCUUAGCUUCCACUUAUAAAUGAGAACAUAUGGUAUUUGGUUUUCCACUCCUGAGUUACUUCACUUCAAAUAAUGGCCCCAGCUCCAUUCAACUUGCAGCAAAUAUUUCAUUCCUUUUUAUGGCUGAGUAGUAUUCCAUGGUGUAUAUACACUACAUUUUCUUUAUUGAUCACUCAUUGGUCAGUGGGCACUUAGGUUGAUUCCAUAUCUUUGCAAUUGCUAAUUGUGCUGCUAUAAACGUGUGUGCAUGUGUUCUUUUCAUACAAUGACUUCUUUUCCUUUGGAUAGAUACCCAGUAUUGAGAUUUCUAGAUCAAAUGAAAGUUCUACUUUUAGUUCUUUAAGGAAUCUCCAUACUGUUUUCCAUAGUGGUUGUACUCAUUUACAUUCCCACAAGAAGUAUAACAGUUCUUCCUUUUCGCCAAAUCCAACAAAUAUCUAUUGUUUUUGACUUUUCAACUGUGGUCAUUUUUGCAAGAUUAAGGUGAUAUUUCAUUGUGGUUUUAAUUUGUAUUUCCAUGAUAAUAAGUGAUGUUGAGCACACUAAUGUGUUUGUGUAUCUUUAUCUUCUUUGGAUAAAUGUUUGUAUAUCUUCUUUGGAGAAAUGCCUGUUCACAUCCUUUACCCACUUUUUGAUAGGAUUAUUUGCUUUUUUUCUUUUGAUUUGUUUGAGUUCCUUAUAGAUUCUGGAUACUAGUCCUUUGUCAUAUGCAUAGUUUGCAAAUAUGUUCUCUCAUUCUGUGGGUUUUCUGUUUACUCUGCAUAGCAAAAUAAAUAUUUUUUUUCUAUGCAGCAGGUUUAUAGUUUAAUUACGUCCCAUUUAUUUAUUUUUGUUUGUGUUGAAUUUGCUUUUGGGGUCCUAGUCAUUAAUUAUUUGCCUAGGCCAAUGUUCCAAAGAGUUUUUUCAAAGUUAUCUUCUACAAUUUCUAUGGUUUCAGGUCUUAGAUUUAAGUCAUUGAUACACCUUCAGUUGAUUUUGUAUAAGGGAAAAGAUGAGGAUCCAGUUUAAUUCUUCCACUAGUGGCUUGCCAGUUACCCAGCCCCAUUUCUUAAAUAGGGUUUCUUUUCCCCCGUUUAUGUUUUUGUAUGCUUUGUUGAAGAACAGUUGGCUGUAAGUAUUUGGCUUUGUUUCUGGGUUCUCUUUUCUGUUCCAUUGGUCUAAGUGCCUGUUUUUACACCAGUGUAAUACUGUUUUGAUAACUGUAACUUUGUAGCAUAAUUUGAAUUCCAGUAAUGUCAUGCCUCAAGAUGUGUUAUUUUUGCUUAGAUUACUUUGGCUAUUGGGGCACUUUUUUAGUUCCAUAUGAAUAUUAGAAUUGUUUCUUCUACUUCUGUGAAAAAUGGUGAUAGGAUUUUGAUGGGAAUUGCAUUGAAUCUGUAGAUUUCUUUGGGGAUAGUGGUGAUUUUUGCAAUAUUAAUUCUUCCCAUCCAUAAGCAUGGGAUGUGUUUCCAUUUAUUUGUUUGUGCCAUCUAUGAUUUAUUUCAGUAGCGUUUUGCAGUUUUCCUUGUAGAGAACUUUCACUUCCUUGGAUAAGUAUAUUCCUAGGUAUUUGUGUUUUUUUGCAGCUUUUGUAAAGGCGAUUGAGUUCUUUAUUUGAUUAUCAGCUUGGUUGUUGUUGGUGUAUAGCAGUACUACUGAUUUGUGUACACUAAUUUUGUAACCUGAGACUUUAUUGAAUAUGUUUAUCAAAUCUAGGAGCUAUUUGGAUGAGUCUUUAGGGUUUUCUAGGUAUGUAAUCAUAUCAUCAAAGGACAGUGACAGUGUGACUUCCUCUUUUUUAAUUUUGAUGCCCUUUAUUUCUUUCUCUUGCAUUAUUUCUCUUCCAGUGCUAUGUUGAAUAGAAGUCAUGAAAGUGGGCAUCCUAUUCUUUUUCCAGUUUUCAGGGGGAAUGCUGUAAACUUUUAUUCAGUCAAUACGAUGUUGGCUGUGGAUUUGUUAUAUACAGUUUUUAGUACUUUGAGGUAAGUCCCUUCUAUGCCUACUUUGUUGAGAGCUUUUACCACAAAGGGAUACUGGAUUUUAUCUACUGCUGUUUCUGUGUCUAUUGAGAUAAUUAUAUGGUUUUUUGUUUUUAAUUUUGUUUAUAUGAUGUCUAGUUUCCUUUUUGUUAUGUCCUUUCCUGGUUUUGAUGUUAGGGUGAAACUGGCUUCAUAGAAUUCUUUAGGGAGAGUUCCUUAUUUCUGUAUCUUUUGGAAUAGUUUCAGUAGGCUUGCUACCAAUUCUUCCUUGAAUGUCUGGUAGACUUCAGCUGUGAAUCAACCUGGUUGUAGACAUUUUUUUUCCUUGGCAGUUUUUUUAUUACUGAUUCAAUCUCACUGCUUGUUAUUGUUCUGUUCAGGAUUUCUAUUUUUUCCUGGUUUAAUGUAGGAGGAUUAGAUGCUUCCAAGAAUUAAUUCAUUUCAUCUAGAUAUUCUAGUUUGUGCUUUUAAAGGUGUUCAUUGUAGCCUUGAAUAAUCUUUUGUAUUUCUGUGGCAUCAGUUGUAAUGUCUCUAGUUUCAUUUCUAAUUGAGCUUAUUUGAAUCUUAUCUCUUCUUUUCUUGGUUAAUCUCCCUAAAGGUCCAACACUUUCUUUUAUGUUUUCAACAAACCAGUUUUUUUGUGUGUCAUUUAUCUUUUGUAUUUUUCCAGUUUCCCUUUCAUUUAAUUCUGCUCUGAUCUUUGUGAUUUUUUUUUUUCUUCUCCUGGCUUUCAGUUUAAUUUGCUCCUGUUUCUGUAGUUCCUUGAAGCGUGACAAGAGGCUACCAUUUGUGCUGUUUCAGACUUUUGGAUAUAGGCAUUUAAUGCUAUAAAAUUUCCUCUUAGCGUUGCUUUUGCUGUAUCCUGGAGGAUUUGAUAACUUGUGUCACUAUUAUCGUUCAUUUCAAAGAAUUUUCUAAAUUACUAUCUUGAUUCCAUUGUUAAUCCAAAAAUCAUUCAAGAGCAGAUUAUUUAAUUUCCAUGUAUUUGUAUAAUUUUGAGGGUUCCUUUUGAAGUUGAGUUCCAGUUUUAUUUCCCUGUGGUCUGGGAAAGUACUUGAUAUAUCAAUUUCAAUUACCUUAAAUUUAUUAAAACUUAUUUUGUGGCCUAUAAUAUGGUCCUAUCUUGGAGAAUGUUCCAAGUGCCGAUGAGAAUGUAUAUUCUACAAUUCUUGGGAAGAAUUUCUGUAAAUAUCUGUUAAGUCCAUUUGUUCUAGGGUAUAAUUUAAGUCCAUUGGUUCUUUGUUGACUUUCUGUCUUUAUGAUCUGUCUAGUGCUGUCAAUGGAGUAUUAAAGUCCCCCACUAUUAUUUUUUUGCUGUCUGUCUCAUUUCUUUGGUCUAGUAAUAAUCUUAUUAAAAAUCUGGGAGCUUUAGUGUGAGGUGCAUAUAAAUUUAGGAUUGUAAUAUCUUCUUGUUGGACUGAUUCUUUUAUCAUUAUAUAAUACCCUUCUUUGUCUUUUUAUACUGCUAUUUCUUUAAAGUCUGUUUUGUCUGAUGUAAGCAUAGCUUCUCCUACUUAAUUUUUAUUUGUGUUUGUAUAGAAUAUCUUUUUCUAUUCUUUUGCCUUGAGUUUAUAGAAAUCCCUAUGUGUUAAGUGAGUCUCUUGAAGAAAGAGGAAAUUUGGUAUGUGAUUUUUAAAAAUCCAUUCUGCCAUUCUGUAUCUUUUAAGUGGAGUAUUUAGACCAUUUAUAUUCAAUGUUAAUAUUGAGAUGUGAGAUACUGUUAGAUUCAUCAUGUUAGUUGUUACCUACUUUGUGUUUUUUUUUCAUUGUGCUAUUAUUUUAUAGACCCUGUGAAUUUUAUACUUUUAGAAGGUUCUAUUUGGUUUAUAUUGAGUUUUUGUUUCAGGAUUUAGACUCAUUUUAACAUUUCUUGUAGAGUUGGUUUGGUAGGGGCAAAUUCCCUCAGCAUUUGUUUGUCUGAAAGAUCUUUCUUGCUGCUGCUUCAACUUUUAUAUUUCUCACUGCUCCCUCAAUCAGUUCUAGCCCUGGGUAGGGUUAAGGUCUUCUCCCUUGGCCUGAAUUCUUAGGUUCCCUGAUGGAAAUGUAUAUCCUAAAGGCAGUCUCUCUCCCUCUCACACUCUGAGGACUUAUAGAUUUUUGCCUGUCUCAUGGAGUAAGCUGCAGCCUGGCGCUGCCUUCAAAAGGUCUGUGGAUUCUUUUUUUUUUUUUUUUUUUCUGUUAAGUUCUUGCAUUGAAUCUUAUACUGUGAAUCUCUACACACUAUUUUGUCUGUCCAAGUGAGAGAGGCAUGCUAACACUGCCUGCAAUCUGCCAUCCUGGAAAAAAAACAAAACCAAAAGCUUUACAUUAAAAAUGAAUCCUACCAAAAAUAUCUCUAAGGUGGUUGUCAAAAAUUUGUAUUUUCUUCAUUAAUCCACAUGCUUGCCAAAAUUAAUAUAAGCAAAUAAUUUAUUAUUUGAAACACUGAUGAUAUUGUCUUGUGUAUUUUAACUUUUUUCAUAUAUAAUAUCUAAUAUACAUAUAAUAAAAUGUGUAUGUCAAAAUCAUAGUUUGCUUAAUUUGCACAAAUUGAACACACGUGUGCAACCAACAAUCGUAACUCAGAUUAGGAAAUAAAAUUCUACCACUAUUUCAAUUACCACCUCAUGCUCCCUUCCAGACACUACCUAUCUCAAAUGUCACCAUAGUCCUAGUUUCAAGUAAAUUUAUUUUACCUAAAUCAUUCUUUAGAUAAAUUGUGGCUUACAGUCAAUAUUCUAUUGUGUCUGACUUCUUCUGCUUAGCAUUUUGUUAGUGAGAUUAAUCUUCAUAGUUGUACACAGAUAAUGUAUUCUAAGUUUUGGUAGUCAUGUUUUACAGCAUUUCAUUGUAUCUAUAUACCCUAUUUUAUUUAUACAUUCAAAUUUGAUGGGAAUAAAGUAUAUUUUGGGGAAGUGAGUGCUAUUAUAAAUAGUAUAGCUAUAAGCUUUUUAGUAAAUAUAAUUUAAUUAACAAGUGUAUUAAUUCAUUUUGUGUAUAUAUCUUCAAAUGCACUUAGGGGGCCACAGGAUACACAUAUGUUCAAUUUUAGAAGAUAACGAAAAAUAUUUUUCCAGAAUCAUUGUUCAAAUGUAUACUCUCACCAGCGGUGUAUAAAAUAUUGGAUGUACAUAUCCCGGACAAAACUUGGAAUUGUCAUUCAUUUUCAUUUUAGCCAUUCUUGUUUGUGAAAAUUUAUAUCAUUUCACUGGUGGUUGAUGGAGUUAAACAUCUUUUAAAAAGAUGCUUAUUGUCCAUUUAAAUAUGCUUUAAUGUGAAAUACUCAUUUCUUCUUGCUGCUUUUUGGAUCAUUUAGCAUUUUCUUGUUCAUUUGUUGUAUAAAAUAAAUCGAUAUAAGUACAGUGACGAUCUUUCAUUAAUUAGUAGCUUGUCUUUUUCUUCCUUAACUGUAAUUCUUGAAGAACAAGUGUUCUCAAUUUUAUUAUAGCCUGUGUUUUCCUAUAACAAAUUGUGCUUAGUGAAACAUGUUUUAAAACUAUCUAUCCCACAUUAUUAUCAUAAAUCUAUUUUUCUAUAGCCCCCUCUAAAAUAUUUAUUGUUUUAAUUUUAUAAUUAUAUGUGCAAUCAUUUUGAAUAUAAUCAAUAAUAUAACUUAGAAUAUAUGAAAUAAACAUUGAUGGAAAUAAAUUAAAUACAGACAUUCCAUAAUUCUGGUGGUGGGACUUCAACACAUUUUCCUCAACAGCUAAUAUUACCAGUCAAAAUAUCAGUGUGGCUGUAAAAUGUGUGAACAAAACAAUCAUUAAAUUUGACCUAAUAGGCAUUUAUGGAACACUUUGCAUAAUUACAUUCUUUUCAAUUGUUUAUGCAACAUUUACGACAUUGACUUAUAAAGAAAAUGACCAAUUUCAAAAUAUUAAAAUCCUUUGUGUUUUUUCAGAACUUAAACAAAAAUCGGAUUUAAGCUAAAAAUAAACAAGUAGAUAACCAGAAAAAAAUCCAAUUUGCAGAGUAAAAUGUAUACACUGCUAAAUAAUUAUAAAGUUAAAUAACCAUAUACAAAUUUUAAAAAUAUUUGAACAUAAUGAUAAUAUGGCAGCCACGGCAUAUUCUCUCUUGUAUGAUGCAGCUAUCAUAAUACUUAGAAAUAAUUUGAUAGCCUUAAACAUAUAUACUAGAGAAGAAAAAUCAGAAGAAAAUUAAUGACUUAAUUUUCCAUUUCAAAAAGUUAGAAGAAUAACCGGAAAAUCAAAUCUGAAGGACAAAGAAGAAAUAAUCCAACCUAGAACAAGAGUCAAUGAAAUAGAAAACAAACAUAAAAUAGAGCAAAUCAAGAAAGCUAACCAUAGUCCGUCUAAAAAGAUUUAUUAAAUUAAUAAAUUUAUAGCAAGAUGAUAGAGACUAAAUAGAGAUGUUUCCAAAAUCAGAUGUUUCCAAUUCUUCCAAAAAAGAAUAAUACCAAACAAGAGUAUCAUCCCAAAUCUUCCUGACAAACUUAAAGUAACAAGUGAACAUUGUGAGCAACUAAACAUUACAUUUGAUAGUUUGAAUAAAGUAGAUUAAUUCUCCAAAUAAUUACCCUACUGAAGACUACUGGAGAAGAAAUAUAAGACAUGAAGGCUCUGAUAUCAUUAAAAUAUUAUAAAGACAUUUUUUAAAAACCUUUCAAUACAGAAAGACCAAAGAUAUGAUGGACCCAGUGGUGAAUUUUUCUUAAACAUGUUUUCCUUUAAGAAAUUAAGGAACAAAUAAAGUUAAUCUUACACAAGUCAUUUUAGGGAGUAGAAAAUGAGUGGAAAUUUACACUUGGAGACUACUGAAUCCCUGCUUCUAUAACUGUGACUGAAACUUGGCCACGUAAUUAAUAUCAAAACAUUUCUCCUAUUUUUGAAAAAUUGACUUAAAAUUAUAUCUCACAUAAUUGUAAUUUUGACUACAACUCUAACUAAAUUAUCUUUGUUAUUCCCAUUAUUAUUCUCAUUUCUUUUUUAAUUGAUCACAGUUUUGUUUUAUUUUAUAUUUGUUUCUAAAGCAACAACAUACAUAAAAGCAACAAGGAAAUUAUAACUAUUUUGAGAGUGUCUGAAAUCACUCGGGUGAUUUUCAAGAAUGAAUACUUUAGUCUGGAAAAGAAGUAAGAAAACCUAAACUUGCAAAGGACAUUGCUUGCAGGGCACUCUAACAACCAAAAACCGUGGUGUAGAAGUUCACCUGCCCAGAAUGUAAUACUAGUCCCUACUCAACUUCCAGAUACUCAGUUUCGAUCUAUAAAAUGUAAGAAAUGGUAUUGCAUUCCUCAAAGAAUUGUUUUUGAAGAAUUAUGAGAUGAUUAUAAAUUCCUCAGAACAGUGCAUGACUUUGGUAUGCGCUUAGUAUCAGACAUUAUUUAUUAUUGAUAACUCAUGAGUGAAUGAUAAGACAGGGUGUAAAAAGAGGUAGUUUUAAGUGCAGGGUAAGUGUAUGUGCAAACAGCUGCAGAAAGAUCUCUUUAUGAAGGGCAAUGUGGGAGAGUUCAUCCAUUUAAGGAGUUCUAGGUGUGGUUUCUGUGGAAUAUAGAUUGCUUACAAGUGAGGCUUUGAAAGCUUGGGCAAUGACUGGCUUUAGGGACAAAAGACUAUCUUAUUUUUGUAAGCAAUGUAUUGAGGGUAAUGUCCUGUGUGAGUCUGAGUACCUCUACCAUGUAGCCUUGUAGGGUAGCUUAAGGACUAUGAGACUGAGGAAGGUCAAUGCUGAGUGAACAUUCAUGACAUGGGACAAAGAGAACAAGAAGAUGCCUUAAGACUGGAUCCUUUAUGAAUAUUUGUUUUUCUGUUUCUUCCACUUUUUUAUAAAGAUGGAAUGGAAGGAUUGACCUGAAUUCCUCCAUUUGAGAAAGAAUAACACUGAUCUUGCAAAAUAAUUGUAUAGAGAUACAUAACAAGAUGACAAGUUUAUACACAAAAUUGCAAAAAAGCUGCAGCUUCUUCAGUUUCUAUGUUAAGCCUCUUGAGCUUCAAGGCACCAGGGGUUGUGGGAGAACAUUUAACUUACCAACGAACUUACUCUAGUCUCUGGGUUUUAAAACAAUCUCUAUUUCUCUGGUCUAUGAGCCUGUCUCCUUUGGAGAACUUCUUGUUUUUAUUCUGUUUCUGGUUUGUUUUGUUUGGGUUUUAAGGUGCGUGUAAAUAAUAGGAGGCUUGCCUGGUUUUGUUUGUACCUAGAGAGUAAUGUUAAUAUUUCAACACUGGUCUUUGCUUUAUCUUCUGUGCAGUGAUGACUCCCUACAGUGAGAUGAAUAGUCUGGCCAGGUCUGUAGAAUGAAUACCUGGAAAAGAAGAAAAGCGCAUGAACAUUUUUUUAUUGAUGUAUUUUUCUUGUUUUGAAUAUGAGCAAGAGGAUUUUAAGGGCAAACAGAGUGCCAGGAAUUCCCUACAAAGUUUCCAUCAGGAAUUUAAUUCUUUGAAGGAAAAAGAGCACUGAUGGAAGGAGAAUCCUUACUGAAAAAAAUUCAGUGGCACAUAUUGAAAAAAAAUAAUAAGCAUGUAAGGGAGCAUAUUGGCUAUGGCUGUUUGAUACCUUGGCCCAAAGCAAGAGGACAAGAUAUUUAUAUUUCAUUCAUCUUCAUUUGCUUUAAAUUGAGGUCCAAUUUACAAUAUGUAAAAUUAAUUAUUAAUUAUUUUAACACAUAAAAUUAAGUGUCAUUUGGUUCAUUCACAAGAUUGUGGAGCGUCUAUCUGCUUCCAAGACAGUCUCAUCACCCCAAAACGUUUUGAAAGUGGGCAAACUCCUACUCUUAAGGAUUGUUGUUUGCAGGCCAGGCACAAUGCCUCACACCUGCAAUCCCAGCAGUGUGAAUGGCUGAAGCAGGAGGACGCUUGAGCCCAGGAGUCUGAGACCAGCCUGGGCGACAUAACAAGACCCCAUCUCAAAAAGAAGAAGAAAAAAAAACUAUAAAAAGGAUUCCUGUUUGCUAAUGGGAUCGCACUUUUUGGUUCUGAUUAUGACAGUGGCAUAAUUGAAGUCGCUUUUUAUCUGACCAAUGUUAGCAGCGAAGAGCACAGUGUACUCGCCACUCUCCUCAUUCACUCUUCAGGCCGCAUAGUCUCACAUUCCUUUGGGAAAGUUGUUCUCAUUACCGCCAUCUUGACACUGUCUGUUCUGUGCAAGCAAAACUGUAAAUGUCUUUAGAGUAAUUUGUAAUCUAGAAAAUAAAAUGAAUUAUUGGUCUUCCAGCUUUGUCUACUGUUUAUUGAGUUUAUUUUAAUACCUCUUCUCUGCUUCCAUUAUACCUCUGCUUGAACCUUAAGGCUCCUACGUAUUAGGUCACCAAUUUUAUACAUAUACUAUGUAUUAGGUCACCACUUUUGUACACUUUUAUAUACAGCAUUUAGUCUCAUGCUUUGUAUACUAAAGAGAACAGUACACAUAAAUACGA
rnacentral:lncRNA from 1 species